rnacentral:rRNA from 1 species
UACGUAGGGUGCAAGCGUUAAUCGGAAUUACUGGGCGUAAAGCGUGCGCAGGCGGUUGUGCAAGACAGGGGUGAAAUCCCCGGGCUUAACCUGGGAACUGCACUUGUGACUGCACGGCUGGAGUACGGCAGAGGGGGAUGGAAUUCCGCGUGUAGCAGUGAAAUGCGUAGAUAUGCGGAGGAACACCGAUGGCGAAGGCAGCCCCCUGGGCCAACACUGACGCUCAGGCACGAAAGCGUGGGGAGCAAACAGG